rnacentral:rRNA from 1 species
GUGAGGAAUUUUCCGCAAUGGGCGAAAGCCUGACGGAGCAAUGCCGCGUGAAGGAUGAUGGCCUAUGGGUUGUAAACUUCUUUUCUCAGAAAAGAAUUAUGACGGUAUCUGAGGAAUAAGCAUCGGCUAACUCUGUGCCAGCAGCCGCGGUAAGACAGAGGAUGCAAGCGUUAUCCGGAAUGAUUGGGCGUAAAGCGUCUGUAGGUUGUUUAAAAAGUAUUCUGUCAAAGAUUAGGGCUUAACCCUAGAUAGGCAGAAUAAACUUUUAAGCUAGAGUUUGGUAGAGGCAGAGGGGAGUCCCGGUGGAGCGGUGAAAUGCGUAGAUAUCGGGAGGAACACCAAAGGCGAAGGCACUCUGCUGGGCCAAUACUAACACUGAGAGACGAAAGCGAGGGGAGCAAAUGGGAUUAGAAACCCCUGUAGUCC